UACGGGGGGAGCGAGCGUUGUUCGGAAUCACUGGGCGUAAAGGGCGCGUAGGCGGCUGAAUAAGUCAGAGGUGGAAUCCCAGGGCUUAACCUUGGAAUUGCCUUUGAUACUGCUCGGCUAGAGGACGGAAGAGGAUAGUGGAAUUCCUGGUGUAGCGGUGAAAUGCGUAGAUAUCAGGAAGAACACCGGUGGCGAAGGCGGCUAUCUGGUCCGUUACUGACGCUGAGGCGCGAAAGCCAGGGGAGCAAACGGG
rnacentral:rRNA from 1 species